rnacentral:tRNA from 1 species
GGAGAGAUGGCCGAGUGGUUGAAGGCGCACGCUUGGAAAGCGUGUGGCCAUCGAAAGGUGGCUCCAGGGUUCGAAUCCCUGUCUCUCCG